rnacentral:rRNA from 1 species
UACGUAGGGGGCAAGCGUUGUCCGGAAUCAUUGGGCGUAAAGCGCGCGUAGGCGGCCCUGUAAGUCCGUUGUGAAAGUCAAAGGCUCAACCUUUGAAAGCCGAUGGAUACUGCAGGGCUAGAGUCCGGAAGAGGCGAGUGGAAUUCCUGGUGUAGCGGUGGAAUGCGCAGAUAUCAGGAGGAACACCAAUAGCGAAGGCAGCUCGCUGGGACGGUACUGACGCUAAGGCGUGAAAGCGUGGGGAGCGAACAGG